AACGCACAUUGCGCCCUAUGGUAUUCCGUAGGGCAUGCCUGUUCGAGCGUCAUUUACACCUUCAAGCUCUGCUUGGUGUUGGGUGACUGUGGCCCCCGGGCCACUCGCCUUAAAGUCAUUGGCGGCCGGUUUGUAGGCUUCGAGCGCAGCACAUUUGCGCCCUCGUGGCCCGUGGAUCGGCUCCCAGAAGCUAUCUUUCAAUUUUUGACCUCGGAUCAGGUAGGGAUACCCGCUGAACUUAA
rnacentral:misc_RNA from 1 species